rnacentral:tRNA from 1 species
UGGGGAUGUAGCUCAAUUGGUAGAGCAAUGGGAUACGCUUUCUUAUUUAUCAGGGUUCGACUCCUUGCGUCUCCAUUA